rnacentral:rRNA from 1 species
GUGGGUAGUUUGACUGGGGCGGUCUCCUCCCAAAGCGUAACGGAGGAGCACGAAGGUUAGCUAAUCCUGGUCGGACAUCAGGAGGUUAGUGCAAUGGCAUAAGCUAGCUUGACUGCGAGCGUGACGGCGCGAGCAGGUGCGAAAGCAGGUCAUAGUGAUCCGGUGGUUCUGAAUGGAAGGGCCAUCGCUCAACGGAUAAAAGGUACUCCGGGGAUAACAGGCUGAUACCGCCCAAGAGUUCAUAUCGACGGCGGUGUUUGGCACCUCGAUGUCGGCUCAUCACAUCCUGGGGCUGAAGUAGGUCCCAAGGGUAUGGCUGUUCGCCAUUUAAAGUGGUACGCGAGCUGGGUUUAGAACGUCGUGAGACAGUUCGGUCCCUAUCUGCCGUGGGCGCUGGAGAAUUGAGGGGGGCUGCUCCUAGUACGAGAGGACCGGAGUGGACGCAUCACUGGUGUUCGGGUUGUCAUGCCAAUGGCACUGCCCGGUAGCUAAAUGCGGAAGAGAUAAGUGCUGAAAGCAUCUAAGC